GAAAGGAACAAGGUGAGGGAAGUGGGAAUCUUGACCAAAUAUUUUCUGCAAUCCAAAGGAACUGUUUUGCUAUCGAUUGGAAGAAUUCUGAUAGGGUUGUGAUCGGAACAGUGCUAAACGUUUGUCGGCUCAGAUACGGCUUUUGGUUGGAUGAUAAUAAUCAUGACAAAAAGGCCUAUAAAUCAAGGAAUGCCCUUUAUUGAAAUCUAGAAUGUCAUCUCAUGUGCAUCUAUAGCUCUUAAGCUUGGGAAUUAUUGAAUCAGUCGUACCACUAAUUGAAGUUGAGGUGAAAAAAGAGAAGACAAGAAGGGGAAUUGGUAUACAGAAGUGCAGGUAGAAUUUAUAUAGCAUCAUGUACAAGUUAUACUUAUACCAAGC